rnacentral:lncRNA from 1 species
GCAGGUUGGAAAAUCUGAAAACAAACUUGUCAACAAGGUUAAGGCAGGGAACCAGUCAAGAAAAGGUCAAUAUCGCCUUCCAGUUGUUAGAACCCCAUUUCACCUUGCAAGGAAAAUGUUGAAAAACUUCACGUUAAGAUUGGUGGCAGUGGUGUGACUGAAAGAGACUUCCGGUGGCAUUUGGGGACAAUGAGAAACACAGUGGUGGUACCUGCAAACUCCCUUCUGAAUUCACUGUCUUUCUCACCAUUUCUGAGGGCUGUGGAUUGUUCCUGCAUAGACGAGACCCACCCGCGCUCAAACACCCAGCCAGAGAAGCCACAAGACAAUCUCCGUUGUCCUUGGAAGAAAGCCCGCCCUACCCACUAGGAGGGAGGGAGCCUCUCCUCCCGCAGCUGUGUUUACCCACAGCGCACGCCGCCCCUCGGGGAACACGCUGGAUCAAGGCGGACCUCGGGGACGCCAGGCUGCAGGGGUCAACGAGGAACUGUCAAGUUAGGUUCGCCUGUGGAUUUUAUAAUAAAUACCCCCUCCCCCAUUUUAGGCAUCAACAUAGAACGCCUUUUGAUUUCCUGAU